UACGGAAGGCAGCAGUGGGAAUAUUGCACAAUGGGCGCAAGCCUGAUGCAGCCAUGCCGCGUGUAUGAAGAAGGCCUUCGGGUUGUAAAGUACUUUCAGUCGUGAGGAAGGUGUUAAGGUUAAUAACCUUAGCAAUUGACGUUAGCGACAGAAGAAGCACCGGCUAACUCCGUGCCAGCAGCCGCGGUAAUACGGAGGGUGCGAGCGUUAAUCGGAAUUACUGGGCGUAAAGGGCACGCAGGCGGUUAAUUAAGUUGGAUGUGAAAUCCCCGGGCUUAACCUGGGAAUGGCAUUCAAGACUGGUUAGCUAGAGUCUUGUAGAGGGGGUAGAAUUCCAUGUGUAGCGGUGAAAUGCGUAGAGAUGUGGAGGAAUACCGGUGGCGAAGGCGGCCCCUGGACAAAGACUGACGCUCAUGUGCGAAAGCGUGGGGAGCAAACAGGGAUUAGAUACC
rnacentral:rRNA from 1 species